AAGCCACACCUUGUGACACUGAGGUAAGAGCAGAACGUUGCAGAGUGUGCAGGCUGGAGUGUGUGCUAAGGCUCUGUGUGCUGAUUACUCCUUGUGUGUCUCAUUGCUUACAGGAUUUUUUUUUUUGAGACAGGGUCUCACUGUGUCACCCAGGCUGGAGUGCAGUGGUGUGAACAUAGCUCACUGCAGCCUCGGACUCCUGACCUCAAGCAAUCCUCCCGCCUUAGCCUUCCAGGUGCUUGAGAUGAGAAACAGACUUUUUUUCCUUUGAGAAUUCAUUAUUUCUCCCCUUGGGCUGUUUGUUCAAACCCACACAGGAGCAGGAACAUUGCUUUCGAUUGCCAAAGAAAUGACAUAAUGAUGCCAAUGAUUAAAAUGUCAAGAACACAGUGUCUUGGGCUGAGAUGGUAAAGGCAGCAUUCAGGCAGUGAUGAUCUGGGGUGAUAGGAGUGGCUGUGGGGAGACGGAGGCCUCCCUUCUUGUAGGAUGGGACUCGGUCUUUCCUCUGCCUCAUUGCUAUUAUUGUCUUGUUUUAUUUUUGCUUUUGUUUGUUUGGGUAGGUGAAAAGGCAGGUCGGGUGAAGAAGAGCAGGAUGUUUCAUUUUUAUCAAGCAUCACCUGAUUCAAAAUGUAGCCACUGAAAAGAAGCCAUCGUUUUUGGCCUGCGUCUCUGAGGAUAAGAUAGUGCGUGGGUGAUGGAUGCAGCCCAGGUGGGAGCUGUCUGCAAAUAACCCAGCUGCUUCCUGUGGCCCUGGUCAUCCUGCUGCCCUCAGCUUCUCCCACGGAGGCCACCUGCCCCCCUAACACUGAGCUGCUCACCUAGUCCAGCCACCAGCGACGGCCCCUGGCCUUUGACGUGUCUGUUCUCUCCUCUCUCACUCCACCACCACUAGCUUCCAGGGAUCUCCAGCCUGUAUAGAAACUUCUCACUACGCUCUGCUCUCGCCCUUUUAGCAGUCUCCUUAUGCUGCUGACUCCACCUCCCAGGCAAAUCAUUCUAAUUUAAUUCUUUACAAGUAUUCUCCCUCCUGGAGUGCUGGGCUCCACCACGGGGGCAAUCAAGGCACAUCACCCACAGCUUUCCAGACACCCACAGCCUUCCUGUCCUGCUGUGAGCGUGGCUCCUUCAGCCUUCUUCCUUCUUCGCCUGUGGGGAGUCAGACAUUCGCCAACCUCGUGCUCAAUCCCUGCCUCUGUCCAGGCCUGCUAAGCCCAUAAGACAUAUCUGCAUGUGUCAGAAUAUGUGCAAGCUUUCGACAGGAUCCCCGUUUCUCCCCAUGGAGCUUUUGGCAAAUGAAGGGUGUGGUUCAGCAGCUGGUCUGAUGUCCCUUAAGCUCCCCCACACCAGCACACCAGGACUGUCUCUGUCUCCACAUUCCAGCAUAUCUGGGUCUCAGCUUUGACACAAUCAGACACUGUUGCUGAAGUUUUUAUGUUUAUAUGACAGAAGAAACUGUCACCCCUCCCCUGCCCCCCGCCCCCACCCACCUGUUAUAAGAAAGAGCUCCAAGGUCUUGAGACCACACGCAGGGGAUGGGAAAGCUGACAUUAAAGGGGAAUGAGGUCUUUCUGUGAUUCCAGCAGCCUCAGGAGGACAACGUCAGAAACCAAAAGCUCCUCUGCCCAGGGAUGGGGACCCGCCGACUUCAAGGGCAGAACAGGUGCCUGGCUAGUGGGGGAGUUCCCCAAUGUGGAUUUAAACUGUAGUGUCUUCAGAGAACAUAACCAACAUUUGUCUUUAGGAGAUGUGUUUGUUUGAGUAGAUCAGCUAUGAAAAUACCCAGCCGGCCUGCAGCCCUCCCGGCAGAUGCUGAAAAGGAAACCCGACUGGGAGAUGCCGCCCACCCUUAUCCCCAGAGAGCUGCGUUGUUUCCUCUUGCCUUGGCCUUUGGAUCCGGCCAUAGCAAGCAUCCCUGGGCACCUGGCUGAAGCUGGAAACUCGGGAUAAGAAUGGAAGCCCUGGAAGGGAAGAAGAACCGAGGAGUGAGCUUGCCCUGAGGACAGCACAUUGCACUCUCACCUCCUUUGCAGUUAAGUGUGAAAUAGUGCCAAUAGAGUGUAAAAGAAAAGAAAGAAGAUGAUUCACCUCCCAAAGAUUCCCCACUGCUGUGUCCCUUCUAUCAACUUGAUACAAAAAAACACAAUGGCCCCGGGAACCACGUGUUGAAGAUGAGAGAGCUAAAAGAUGGAAAGAGACUGGAGCCCUGAGUCACCACCUGGAGGAAAACUACCCACCCAUCAGGAAUUUCUACUACACAUUUGGGAGUUUUUGGGGUUACAGCAGCUAAUUUAACGAAAACACCCAGAGACAAGAGCUAUUACUGCACAAAUUGGUUAAGUUACCUUUUUGUAUGUUUGGGUCCUCUCUAUUCGAUGAGACUGCGCGUUCCUUUGAAGCAAAUCUGUUUAAAAUUCUUAUAUCCCCAGAGGGCCUAGCAGAGAGUAUGCACAGAGUGAGCCUUCAGUAAAUGCUGAGUAAAUAAGCUCCUAAUG
rnacentral:lncRNA from 10 species